rnacentral:rRNA from 1 species
GGAGUCUGGGCCGUAUCUCAGUCCCAAUGUGGCCGGCCAACCUCUCAGUCCGGCUACUGAUCGUCGACUUGGUGGGCCGUUACCCCGCCAACUAUCUAAUCAGACGCGAGUCCAUCUCAGAGCGAUAAAUCUUUGACAUUAAAACCAUGCGGCCCUAAUGUAUCAUGCGGUAUUAGCAAUCAUUUCUGACUGUUAUUCCCCCACUCCAAGGCAGGUUACUCACGCGUUACUCACCCGUCCGCCACUAAGCUGCCCCUUCCAUUGUCCGAAAACUCUUUCCGGAGCGCUCCGUUCGACUUGCAUGUGUUAAGCACGCCGCCAGCGUUCAUC